UACAGAGGUCCCGAGCGUUGUUCGGAUUCACUGGGCGUAAAGGGUGCGCAGGUGGGUUUGCAAGUUCGAUGUGAAAGCCCCGGGCUUAACCCGGGAAUGGCAUUGGAUACUGCAGAUCUGGAGGAUCGGAGGGGGGACUGGAAUUCUUGGUGUAGCAGUGAAAUGCGUAGAUAUCAAGAGGAACACCAGUGGCGAAGGCGGAUCUCUGGGCCUUACCUGACGCUGAGGCGCGAAAGCUAGGGGAGCGAACAGG
rnacentral:rRNA from 1 species